rnacentral:rRNA from 1 species
GCCUAACACAUGCAAGUCGAACGAUGAUAGGAGAGCUUGCUCUUCUUGAUUAGUGGCAGACGGGUGAGUAACGCGUGGGAACCUUCCUAGUAGUACGGAAUAACUUCGGGAAACCGUAGCUAAUACCGUAUAAGCCCUCCGGGGGAAAGAUUUAUCGCUACUAGAUGGGCCCGCGUCGGAUUAGCUAGUUGGUGAGGUAAUGGCCCACCAAGGCGACGAUCCGUAGCUGGUCUGAGAGGAUGAUCAGCCACACUGGGACUGAGACACGGCCCAGACUCCUACGGGAGGCAGCAGUAGGGAAUAUUGGACAAUGGGCGCAAGCCUGAUGCAGCAACGCCGCGUGAGUGAUGAAGGUCUUCGGAUUGUAAAGCUCUGUCUUUGGGGACGAUAAUGACGGUACCCAAGGAGGAAGCCACGGCUAACUACGUGCCAGCCGCCGCGGUAAAAC